GGGGGGAAUCAUCAGAGAAUAAAAGCAACGGAGAGACUGGUGAACAUGUCCCUGAUGGAAGCAAAACUAUGACUCACCUACCUGCUUUUCCAGCAACCUUAAGCUUUUUUCUAUUAGCUAUUUUGCAGCCCGGGAGAAAAAUGGAUGUAAGAGCUCUGACAGGUCCUGCCAUGGUCCAUCAUCCAGACCAUUUUUGCGUGUUACGUGGUCCCAAAAAAAUGCGCAUCCGUUUUCCCAUCUU